GAGGCCGCCACUAGCAAACAACCUCAGCUUCAUAAACCCAGCAGAAAGGUCGGGGUAUUAUUGAAAAGGUCGGAAGGAUCAAGAUUAUGUCCGCCCGCCUAAGUGGGACGAACAACCAAGUUGUGCGAUGCAGCUUUAAAGAGGCUGGUGAUUGACCGAAUGGUGUAGUAGUGGAUGGGGUGGAGCCGCUGGGUGGGGUCGAGACUGGCAGCUGAGAGAUACCAAAAGGAAGAAAAAAGAAAACCAUUGCCCUUGAUAUCGCUAAUGCCGGGGGAGGGAAGCUAACUAGAAAGUAGGGAAAAGGAAGGUUUUAGAAUUCACCUCCACUCCUUCCCCUGGCUAACACUCUUUACACUCUUCUGCCUUCCCUUGAGAUAAUUAAAAUAGACUGUACACCGGCCCUAGUCGGUGCCCAUUCCCCCUAACUCUUCACUCAACUACUUGUGUAGUCCGAGGAAGUGAGGACCCCGGGUCCAAGAGCUCAAUCCCGGCCCCGCCCCGUCGGCCCAGGUCCCGGGGCUGGGAGGAGAGGAUGCCUUCGGAGGCGCAGAAUCCGAAAAAGCUGGACAGAGGAAUCGAGCUGGAAAAUGACCUACAGAUAUUACAGUUUUAUUCUGUGGAAAACUGAGGUUGUCUAUUAGUGUGAUGGCAACAACCAACUAAUAAAAUUUAGAGACUAGACUGCUUGUCAUGUCUGGGGUUCACUGGAAAUAAAUGAUUCACUGGAACAAUUCUCCUGUCAAAAAAAAAUAUGAGGUUUGUAACUUGCCCUGAGUAUAACAAGGGAUAUAUUUUAACAAUGGAUGUAUUUUUUCUUAAGAAGCAACCAUUUCUCAGCUUAUACAUAAUAGCAAUAAUAAAGGCUUUGAUCCUAUUAA